GACAGAGGUCCCGAGCGUUAGGCGGAAUCACUGGGCUUAAAGCGUGUGUAGGCGGCGGCCUAAGUACCUUGUGAAAUCCCACGGCUCAACCGUGGAACCGCUGGGUAUACUGGUUGUCUUGAGCCGGCUAGGGGCGAGCGGAACAGACGGUGGAGCGGUGAAAUGCGUAGAUAUCGUCUGGAACGCCGAAGGUGAAAACAGCUCGCUGGGGCCGCGCUGACGCUGAGACACGAAAGCCAGGGGAGCGAACGGG
rnacentral:rRNA from 1 species